AUGAUUCUGUAUCUAGAAAACCCCAUCGUCUCAGCCCAAAAGCUUCUUAAGCUGAUAACCAACCUCAGCAAAGCCUCAGGAUACAGAUCAAUGUGCAAAAAUUGCAGACAUUCCUGUACACCAACAACAGGCAAGCAGAGAACCAAAUCAUGAAUGAAUUGCUAUUCACAGUUGCUUUUUUUUCUUAAACUAAUUUGAAUUGGGUUCCUGUAGCUUGCAACUUAGGGUGCUGUGAAUAUACAGAAGUUUCUUAUAGAAUCCACUGGGUCUUGG
rnacentral:lncRNA from 1 species